ACGGAGUUAGCUUAAUGGCUAGAGCACCCACGUAAUCAUGAGGGGUUGUAUUGGUUCGAAUCCUUUACUCCGUA
rnacentral:tRNA from 1 species